GAAAUGCGAUAAGUAAUGUGAAUUGCAGAAUUCAGUGAAUCAUCGAAUCUUUGAACGCACCUUGCGCUCCUUGGUAUUCCUUGGAGCAUGCCUGUUUGAGUAUCAUGAAAUCUUCAAAGUAAAUCUUUUGUUAACUCAAUUGGUUUCUACUUUGGUAUUGGAGGUCUUUGCAGCUUCACACCUGCUACUCUUUGUUCAUUAGCUGGAUCUCAGUGUUAUGCUUGGUUCCACUCGGCGUGAUAAGUUAUCUAUCGCUGAGGACACUGUAAAAGGUGGCCAAGGUAAAUGCAGAUGAAACGCUUCUAAUAGUCCAUUGACUUGGACAAUACUUUUAUGAUCUGAUCUCAAAUCAGGUAGGACUACCCGCUGAACUUAAGC
rnacentral:misc_RNA from 1 species